rnacentral:rRNA from 1 species
UACGUAGGGUGCGAGCGUUAAUCGGAAUUACUGGGCGUAAAGCGUGCGCAGGCGGUUUUGUAAGCCAGAUGUGAAAUCCCCGGGCUUAACCUGGGAAUGGCAUUUGGGACUGCAAGGCUUGAGUUUGGCAGAGGAGAGUGGAAUUCCUGGUGUAGCAGUGAAAUGCGUAGAUAUCAGGAGGAAUACCGAUGGCGAAGGCAGGUCUCUGGGCUAGAACUGACGCUCAUGCACGAAAGCGUGGGGAGCAAACAGG